ACUAGUUUUUAGUGUGAAGUUUCUUCGAAACUUCACAGUAUUGUGAUGACUGGGGGGAAAUUCAAACGAAACAGUCAGUCAUUCAGUCAGUCAUUCAUUCAUUCAGUCAGUCAUACAGUAAACUUUCCGGGGGGUGUAUACGGUAUGUGUUCGUAGUGAUUUAUCGUACUUAGUCUGUGCUUUGAAGGUUAUUUAGGCAAUUUUAGUUGUCUUAUUUAAAUAUUCUUUAGGUCUUUUGCCAAGUUUUGCCAAGUUUACAAGAAAUUCGAGGAAUUGUUGUCGUUAUUGUAAAUUUUAUAACAUGCGCUUCUCAUGUUGUGUAAAGGAUUUUUCCCCCGGAACACCCGAUUUUUUCUUUAGCAGCGCAAAUGCGCAUGCGCUAUCAAGCCGUAGAUCACGAUGGCGUGACGAUGCUAGGAAGGAGCGAGACAGUGUUGUUUUGAAAUGUAUAAGCAUUUCAGACGUGAAUAUUGAGUAAAUCUUCGACAAUCUACGCAAUGUAUAAAUUGAUGUUAUACAUUCAAUUAAGUGCCGAUAUUAUUUAGACCGGUAUAUUCAUUUUACAGAGCUAGCAAGGAGCUUUUUGCUUUUUUCAAGUGUAGGCUAUAUAUUAAACAUUUCAGACGUAAAUAUUGAGUCGAAAAUCUUUGAGAUUCUAGGCAUUCAAUUGAGUGCCGAUAUUAUUUUCACGGUAUACCCAUUAUACAGAGGUAGGAAAGUGCGAGAGAGUGUUGUUUUCAAAUAUAUAAACAUUUCAGACAUGAAUAUUGAGAAAAUCUUUCAGAUUCUACGCAAUAUAUAAAUUGAUGACGUUAUGCAUUACCGGCGCCCAAUUAAGUGCCAGAAGAUAUAUUGUUUAGGCCGUGUAUUCAUUAUACAUUGGCCACAUUGGCUGUAUAAGGUGCUACACCACAGAAUAGAUGGCUACACUUAGUACAAAGAGCGAAAUUUGCAUCAGACAAAGCGUAAACAACUAUUAAACAGAAGCGGAUGUUUGUACGGCGUUUACGACGAAAAUAACUUGUGAGUUGUGAUCGAGACAAAAAAAAUCAGUUGAGUCUGCAGAGCUCUUUAUUUAAACAAGAAAGACGAGGAGUUAUAGCCAACGUGUUAUCGCCAAUCGCUUGGCUUGCCAACAAGCUUUAUGCAAUAGAAGAAAAAAGCAAGGAGGUAGCCAACGUGUACCGUCAAGGACUUACUUUGUUUACUGUCUAGCACAACGUCAACAGUGCAAACUCGUGUUCAGUGCAACGAUGACUCUACCAGAUCUUACGAGAAUCAAUCUGUACACAGAGCCGUAUCAAAGCUUGUUAAAACUGCUAUAAACACUGCUAUAACUGUGAAACUAUUGAAAUCUAAAGUGACAUUACUGAAUACACGCGAAAAGCUGAAAAUGACUCAUGAAACGCAAUGUGACAUUGCCAUUGCGAAUAUAAAGUCAAAGGUCAAUCAGACUUGUUAUUGUGAAACAUGUCACAAUUAGGUUAAAAUGCGGAAGCGGAUGGAGCGGAUCCACGGAACGGAUAUGGGGAUAAAAUAUAGAACGGAUGGGGAUAAAAUGCGUUCUUUUAAUGAUACAACGUCGUAGUGCUUAUUAUUCAUAACAUAUCUUAUACAUAAUCAUAUUAAAUAAGUCCAGCGUAUCAGUACCCUCGUUAGGAUGCUUUUAGCGACAGCUGCAAAUACAAAUGAAGUUUUAGAAUAUGCAAAAUUUGGGUGUUGGUGAAACAAUUUAAAUUUCGAGUUGUCGCGUGUAGCAUCACAAUAAAUAAAUAAAUUGUAUCAGUUCCACGAGGCACGUUUCUGAUCUGUUAGGCUUGUUUCAAACGUGGCGCUACUCAUGUGCCGAACGCAUUAUAAAGUAGAUAAUGAGAUGAAAUGCCUUUGGUAACUGUUUAUUUCGUAGUGUAAGCCAUCAGCCUUUCUAGGUUGUCGGCAACCCUAUAUAAUUGUUGCAGUGUCUUUUUCAAUUCGAAACUUCACACUAUCCUUGG
rnacentral:lncRNA from 1 species